rnacentral:misc_RNA from 1 species
AUGAGCUUGUUUUUGCUUAUAGAAAAAUCAUUUUCCGCUACGAUUCACCAUUCCCAUUUUCUCUGCAACUUUCUUCAUAAUCAUAUUCAUACUCAUUUCAAUUCAUCAUCACUCACUCAACGCGAAAAUGAAGACCAUUCUUUCUUCUUCUGCUACUACCUGUGAUUUCUCGCUGAUUCUUUUCCCUCAGCUCUGCCCCAGUAAAAAUUCAAGCC